ACUUGCAUUAUGUAAGCGCACAGGGAACCCUGCGGACACAGGGAAAGCCAUGUCCUCCUGUUGGCAGCCGAAUGGAGGGAGUGUGGGCGUCCUUGUCUAGUAACUGAACUGGUGUGUGGGCCGGAGGCUGACCUCAGGGCUGUCAGUGAACACACGUGGUAUUGAGGCUGCCGCGUUUCUCCCUGUAGUGGACUGCUGGGACGGGCCCGAUGGGAAGCCGGUCAUCUACCAUGGCUGGACGCGGACCACCAAGAUCAAGUUUGAUGACGUCGUGCAGGCCAUCAAAGACCACGCCUUUGUUACCUCGAGCUUCCCAGUGAUCCUGUCCAUCGAGGAGCACUGCAGCGUGGAGCAGCAGCGUCACAUGGCCAAGGUCUUCAAGGAAGUGUUUGGCGACCUGCUGCUGACGAAGCCCACGGAGGCCAGCGCUGACCAGCUGCCCUCGCCCAGCCAGCUGCGGGAGAAGAUCAUCAUCAAGCAUAAGAAGCUGGGCCCCCGAGGCGACGUGGAUGUCAACAUGGAGGACAAGAAGGAUGAGCACAAGCAGCAGGGAGAGCUGUACA
rnacentral:sRNA from 1 species